AGCAGCCGCGGUAAUUCCAGCUCCAAUAGCGUAUAUUAAAGUUGUUGCAGUUAAAAAGCUCGUAGUUGAAUUUCGGGGUUAGUAGGUUGGUCGUGCCACUGGUACGUACUGGUCUCACUGACUCCUCCUUCCUGGUGAACUGUAAUGCCAUUAAUUUGGUGUUGCAGGGAAACUGGACUGUUACUUUGAAAAAAUUAGAGUGUUUAAAGCAAGCUAACGCUUGAAUACAUUAGCAUGGAAUAAUGAAAUAGGACGUUCGAUCCUAUUUUGUUGGUUUCUAGGAUUGACGUAAUGAUUAAUAGGGAUAGUUGGGGGCAUUAGUAUUCAAUUGUCAGAGGUGAAAUUCUUGGAUUUAUUGAAGACUAACUACUGCGAAAGCAUUUGCCAAGGAUGUUUUCAUUAAUCAAGAACGAAAGUUAGGGGAUCGAAGACGAUCAGAUACCGUCGUAGUCUUAACCAUAAACUAUGCCGACUAGGGAUCGGAUGAUGUUAAUUUUUAAUGACUCAUUCGGCGCCUUAC
rnacentral:rRNA from 1 species